AGGCAACGGAAGCCGUGAAUCAGAUCAAAAGGGCUUUAUUGCUGGGGUAACACAAUCCAAGACACGUAACGUUAAUAACCAGACUGGGGAAACGAACAGAAACGCAGACUAAAUACACUGGACUAAUGACAACAAUCAGAAACAGCUGUUAAACACUGUGAAUCCACAUGAGGUUAACGAGGGGGGCGUGGCACAGGAGGAUCGGCACGAUCGGGGUGUGACAAAUACACAUUUUUCAGAUACAGUUAAUUCCAUUGAACAACAAAAAAAAUGGCAGCAAUUUAUGGGGGGACUGGGAAAUUUUCAGAAAAUAUACAAAGGAAUCGACAGUAAUUUCAGUGGAAGUCAAUCAGAACAUGGCUAUGGAGUGCUUCCUCACUAAUUUCAGGUGUACCUUCAAUUCUGGACCUGGCACUGGUAUCAAAGCUGGAAGAAAAUGAAGCAGCAAGACAGGAAGUGUACUGAUGCCUUGGCACUUUGGUCCUGGGGAAUGUUCCUUACCAACACGACAGCUAAUAAAACGGGCAAUUUAUAAUUCACCAAAAAAAAAAUAUGUUUUUAAACUGUGGGAGGAAAACCACAGACACAGGAAGACCACACAGCCUCGACAGAGUGCAGCAAUUGAACCCAAAAACAAGCCUCACACAGAGGGUUACCAAAUGUCCUGUAUUAGCCGGGACCUCCCGUAUUUGGAUUAAAAUUUGUUUGUUUAUUGCGUACAGGACAGUCAUUGUCUUAUAUUUCAAACUCUGGGAUCUGGGUGCACUCAUAGAAUACACCACUAGAGGGCAUUACAUCUAUCUGUCUAGCUGGUUCGGUUGCAGGAAAAACCAUGACAACAAUAAAAAUAUAUCUACGUGCUAAUCUUGGGUCAGAUUCACUGUCAGUUGUAUCACAUACAUGUUUACGCAACAUAGGCACAUACGCUGAUGAACAGAUGUGCAGGUGCUGUAAGUUACGAUAGACGAAGGGCCAGCUACAAAGCAAAGAUUGUACAGCUAUAACAAGCAAUGGGAAGACAAAAUGUCACGGGUAAAAUCUGUCAAAUGCGAUCCAAUGACAGCCAUUUGCACAUUAAGCUGUCGGGAGUUUCUAAUUCGCCAUGACCUUGCUCAGCAUGCGCCCACAGAACUUUGAAAAAGCAUGUUUGACCAGCAUGUUUCAGAUUGUGUUAUUUGUACUGUGUGUCAGGCUCAAAUGCAUUUGUGGAGAGAUUUUUUUCUCUCUGAUGACCAUUAACAGUCAGACUCAAGAAAGAGAUCUCAUCAAAAGUGAACUUCAGAUCUCUGUGAACUGUCAUGCAAGGGCGUCUGUUUUACUGUGCAGAAAGACAAAGUGUUGCUAGAGUCAGUCAGGAGCAGUGAGAAGCAGCCAUGGAAGACGUAUAUUUGAAAAUGAAUCCAGACCUAAACAGGAUGCACUGUGGCAAUAUACAGGCUCCAGGUCUCCAAGUUUCUAAUCAGGUUAAAUGGCUGGAAGAUCGAUAGAUGAAUUUCACCAAAAAGAGACAAAGAAGAGGAAGAAGAAGAAGAGGAUCAAGACAUGAAAUACAGAUGAGAUUAUAUCAACAUUUGUUGACUAUGUUCUUGUCCAUGGCCUGCCAAUGAGAGAAGCUGGCCAACAGGUAUAGCCAAAUCUUCUCAGCUGCAUCAAUAAUCAGGACAUUCAGGGA